rnacentral:rRNA from 1 species
CCUACGGGAGGCUGCAGUGAGGAAUAUUGGUCAAUGGGCGGGAGCCUGAACCAGCCAAGUCGCGUGAGGGAAGACGGUCCUAUGGAUUGUAAACCUCUUUAGGCGGGGAGCAAUGCCGGGCACGUGUGCCCGGAGGGAGAGUACCCGCAGAAUAAGCAUCGGCUAACUCCGUGCCAGCAGCCGCGGUAAUACGGAGGAUGCGAGCGUUAUCCGGAUUGAUUGGGUUUAAAGGGUGCGUAGGCGGAUUUUUAAGUCAGCGGUAAAAUGUCCGGGCUCAACCCGGGCCGGCCGUUGAAACUGGGGAUCUUGAGUGGGCGAGAAGUAUGCGGAAUGCGUGGUGUAGCGGUGAAAUGCAUAGAUAUCACGCAGAACUCCGAUUGCGAAGGCAGCAUACCGACGCCCGACUGACGCUGAGGCACGAAAGCGUGGGGAUCGAACAGGAUUAGAUACCCCUGUAGUC